AACGAGCGAGACCCACGCCAACAGUUGCCAGGCUCGGUCCUCCGGGGAUGGUGGGGCAACUGUUGGGACCGCCUCUGCUAAAGAGGAGGAAGGAAUGGGCAACGGUAGGUCAGCAUGCCCCGAAUUAUCUGGGCUACACGCGGGCUACAAUGGGUGGGACAAUGGGUAUCGACACCGAAAGGUGAAGGCAAUCUCCUAAACCCAUCCGUAGUUCGGAUUGUGGGCUGCAACUCGCCCACAUGAAGCUGGAAUCUGUAGUAAUCGUGUCUCAAAAUGGCACGGUGAAUAUGUCCCUGCUCCUU
rnacentral:rRNA from 1 species